rnacentral:lncRNA from 1 species
GCCCUGCACCAGGUGAGAGAGCAUGGCAGGCGGGGUGAACAUUAGCCGUCCUCUUCUCAACUCCUCCUAUACUAUUGUGUGUCCCACCCUUAUCAAAGAAGGCUAUCUUUGGCUAAUUCAUCUUAAAAAUUUGGUAGAACAAGACACUCUGUGCAAAGAACAGAGGCAAGCCUCCAGCCAGGAGCUCAUGAAAUCAUGAACUGAGGCCUCAGUGCAAUAGCUCAUGAGGAAAUGAAUUAUUUCAACAGCCAGAUCUGCAGUCGUAGGAACAAAAGAAAACGUAGAAUUCAGGCUAAGGGAGAGGAUUUGAUAUCAAAGUAAUGUCAAGUGCUUCUGACCCACUGCAUUAAACGUGUGCUGAGCAGUUGGUGGUAGAAGACAUUAUUGUGAAGGCUGCUCACCACCAAUUUCAUCACUGUUGCUAACUCCAGCUCAUCUAAUCUCUGCAACAUCUGCUACCAGCACCUUCUCUUGCCUCCUUUUGUGAACAUAGUUUUUUCUUCUGGUUAGAAAAUCAGUUCGAACUUCUUGAGUUUUGUGUUUUAAACUCUUCUCAACUGUUCCGAUGAUUGAUGGAUGGCCCAGAGGCGACCUCUUUAUCUCCAGCAACAUAUUUGGCUGUUGGCCCGGUAGAGAGGUACUCCAGAAGCUUGCUGGUUCAUCAUGCUCUCAUCUUUAACCACAACUAUUUAUCUGACUCCUUCCAUCUCCACAGCACUGUGUGAGGGAUCAGUGAUAAGAGACGGUGAAAGACAUGCGCAAAUGGAUAAAUAAUAAGCAGGAUAUGUAGAAUGACACAACAAUUGAUGAGUAAUUUAGGAGAUCCAAUAACUAAAAAAAAAAAGACUGGGGACAAGUUCAUGGAAAGAGUAAUCAACUAAGCCUUAUAACAUAAAAUUGACAAAUAGAGAAGGCAUGCAAUCCAGUAGAAUAGAGUGCAAAAGAGGUAGAAGACUAAUCGUUUCAAGACAUGUUGAGCCACAACAGCAAUAACAUUGUGACAAAAAACGUCGGUGUAGACUGCAGAAGAUCUUCAAUGACGGAUCAAGCUGUAUAGACUUUUUUUUACCCUCAUAUACUGAAUAGUCAUUUAAGGUAUACAGUGCCAACGUAAGAGAGAAAGGUAAACUUUUUUUAACACAAGUUGUAGGCCUUGGAAAGAAGUUUUCCAGUAACAAGAUAACACGAUAAUGUACUGUGGUUAUAAGCUCAAAGUGGUAUAUUUGAUUCAGUGUUCCCAGAACCACCAAAACCUUGGAACCAUUGUUUAGCUAAAGCUACUAGAACAACAGAAUAACCUACUCUGUGGCAUUGUAAAGUAAAAUUAUACUACACACAAAUACUUGACAUAAAAUACAUUUCCAAACUCAAUUAUUAGGGAUAACAUAAGCACAAAAUGAUGCUUUGCAAACAUCAUGUAUCCUAUAACUGGAGAAAAAAAAUUAAUGACAUGAAGUGAAAUGACUGAGUUCUGAAGCUACAUCUCAAUUUAAAUAGCAUAAGCAAUUUAGUAUACAACAUUCUUCAAAAUCAAUUGUUGAAGGUUAACUAUAAUCUACAUACAAAAACAACUUUGUCAACUUUUUGUACGGAUUUUCCUUCUAAACAUAUUUACUUUAUGUGUAAAAUCAAAAAAUUUCCUGAGUUAAAGGCUAAGACUUGACUUUAUGAAUACAUGCCCAAAAAUUGGUGGUGGCUGGUUUCUGUUUUUAUUUUGUAAGCUUAGUAUAAUGGUUGUCCAGAACUUGUAAGCAAUGACCUCAUUUCUAAGCGGACAAGAUGCAAAAGACCAUUUUUACAGAUUAACCAUCUGGUUCCUUUAGGAAGAGUAAUAUUUCAACAGGUUCCUGUAUUUCAAGAAUAUAAAUAAUUAAAAAGAUGAAGAUAUGUGAAAUACACAAAGAAAAAAAUAGAGAAAAUAGCAUUUAAAGCAAAUUAUCCUAGCUCCCUCAAUUAAUAUUUUAAAACCAUGACAAUCAGUUAUUAAUAUAAAUUGUUAAUUUUAUUUAAUACAACAUCAAUAUAAUUCAUACCAUCUUCUUCAACUAGGUGGUCUAUCAUUUUGGAGUUUCUUUCCACCUCUGGAGAAUUGCUCAGGAAAUCUGGCUAACAUACCAAAUAAAUCAAAUGGAUUUAAUGAGAUGGUUUU